CCUUUUGAGGGUUUGAUCCUGGCCCAGGGUGAACGCUAGCGGCGUGCCUUAAGCAUGCAAGUGGGACGAUCCGUCGCAAGA
rnacentral:ncRNA from 1 species